UACGUAGGGUGCGAGCGUUAAUCGGAAUUACUGGGCGUAAAGCGUGCGCAGGCGGCGCGUUAAGUCAGGUGUGAAAUCCCCGGGCUCAACCCGGGAACUGCGUCCGAUACUGGCAGGCUUGAAUCCGGGAGAGGGAUGCGGAAUUCCAGGUGUAGCGGUGAAAUGCGUAGAUAUCUGGAGGAACACCGGUGGCGAAGGCGGCAUCCUGGACCGGCAUUGACGCUGAGGCGCGAAAGCCAGGGGAGCAAACGGG
rnacentral:rRNA from 1 species